rnacentral:rRNA from 1 species
AACGCUAGCUACAGGCUUAACACAUGCAAGUCGAGGGGCAGCAUGGUCUUAGCUUGCUAAGGCCGAUGGCGACCGGCGCACGGGUGAGUAACACGUAUCCAACCUGCCGAUGACUCGGGGAUAGCCUUUCGAAAGAAAGAUUAAUACCCGAUGGCAUAGUUCUUCCGCAUGGUAGAACUAUUAAAGGAUUUCGGUCAUCGAUGGGGAUGCGUUCCAUUAGGUUGUUGGCGGGGUAACGGCCCACCAAGCCUUCGAUGGAUAGGGGUUCUGAGAGGAAGGUCCCCCACAUUGGAACUGAGACACGGUCCAAACUCCUACGGGAGGCAGCAGUGAGGAAUAUUGGUCAAUGGACGAGAGUCUGAACCAGCCAAGUAGCGUGAAGGAUGACUGCCCUAUGGGUUGUAAACUUCUUUUAUACGGGAAUAAAGUGAGGCACGUGUGCCUUUUUGUAUGUACCGUAUGAAUAAGGAUCGGCUAACUCCGUGCCAGCAGCCGCGGUAAUACGGAGGAUCCGAGCGUUAUCCGGAUUUAUUGGGUUUAAAGGGAGCGUAGGUGGACAGUUAAGUCAGUUGUGAAAGUUUGCGGCUCAACCGUAAAAUUGCAGUUGAUACUGGCUGUCUUGAGUACAGUAGAGGUGGGCGGAAUUCGUGGUGUAGCGGUGAAAUGCUUAGAUAUCACGAAGAACUCCGAUUG